rnacentral:lncRNA from 1 species
ACACAUUCGUGAUCGCCUAAAGUAGUCGGCGACUCGCCGAUAGGAGUUUAUACCGCCCUUUGCAUACCCUAUUUUGCCCUCUUUCACUAUAUCUUUUGGCGGACAACCUUGUCGUCAUCGAAAAUAGUCGGCGUCUCGCCAAAUAAACUUUUUCAUCACUACUUUUCCUAGAUUUCAAGAUAAUUCCUUUGGCGAGUCCGAC